rnacentral:rRNA from 1 species
AUUGAACGCUGGCGGCCGGCUUAACACAUCCAAGUCGAACGAGUGGCGGACGGGUGAGUAAUGCCUGGGAAUCUAGCUUAUGGAGGGGUAUAACUCCGGGAAACUGUAGCUAAUACCGCGUACCAUAGGAUGAGCCCAAGUGGGAUUAGGUAGUUGGUGAGGUAACGGCUCACCGAGCCGACGAUCUCUAGCUGGUCUGCGAGGAUGACCAGCCACACGGGGACUGGGACACGGUCCAGACGCCUCCGGGAGGCAGCAGUGGGGAAUAUUGCGCAAUGGGGGCAACCUGACGAAGCCAUGCCGCGUGAAUGAAGAAGGCCUUCGGGUUGUAAAGUUCUUUCGGUAGCGAGGCGUUAACUACAGAAGAAGCACCGGCUAACUCCGGGCCAGCAGCCGCGGUAAUAC